rnacentral:lncRNA from 1 species
UUCUCUACAGGAGUCGCCUAGGGCUCCGAUUUGGCGAGUUUGUAGUGAUCUCUGCAUGCGUGUGUUGUGUUUGCUCUCACACUUCUCUGCUGUCCUUUGUCAUGCAUUUGCUGUUAAAUAUGUUUCUCCUCGCAUGUUCCUCUUCUCCAUUGCCUAAGCUGGUUGUGUUCGUCUAGAGAAGAACGUGUUACAGAAAACAAACAAAAAAAAAAAAGAAAAAAAGAAAAAAACGGGACCUAGGUAGUUUGAAUAGUUUAAAUAAGUUUAGAAUCAUCGAUUUACAUACUCGAUUGCCGAAAACAACGCAAGCAAUCGACCUAGUUUGCUUCUAAAAAUAUUCAAAUUUUACUGCACAUAUACAUAUAUAUAAUUCUUCAAUUUUACUAUAUAAUAUAAAAUAUAAUAAAAAUAUUAUUAUUAUUGUACCUAGGAUUUCGAUGUCGUGUUAUCACGUGCUCUGCAAGUC